UCUCUUUCUGCUUUUACGGUUUACGGUAAGCGGUCUCAACUCCAAAAUAUCGAAUCUCUGUUUCUCUUUCUCUCGAUUCGAAUCCAGGUCCACCCAAUACCCAAUCGGCUCCUCUACGGUUCUCUGCAGAUAGGGUUUACUGGAUUUGGAUGGGUACGGAGAGGAAGAGAAAAGUGAGCUUGUUUGACGUGGUGGACGAGACUUCGAUCUCCGGGAAGAUAUCGAAAAUGAACGGCGCUGGUGGAACGCCGAUGAACAACAACGGAAACAACAACAAUUUGAUAAAUCGGUGGACUGGGAAGCCUUAUUCACAGCGAUACUAUGAAAUAUUGGAGAAGAGGAGGACUCUGCCCGUUUGGCACCAAAUGGAGGAUUUCUUGACGGCUUUGAAGAAAAACCAGGUCCUUGUUCUUGUCGGUGAGACUGGUAGUGGAAAAACUACUCAGAUUCCUCAGUUUGUUUUGGAAGCUGUUGACAUAGAAACACCCGAUAAACGUAGGAAGAUGAUGAUUGGAUG
rnacentral:misc_RNA from 1 species